rnacentral:rRNA from 1 species
CCUACGGGUGGCUGCAGUGGGGAAUAUUGGGCAAUGGGCGCAAGCCUGACCCAGCAAUGCCGCGUGAAGGAAGAAGGCUUUCGGGUUGUAAACCUCUUUGACAGGGGAAGUGCAGAAGACGGUACCCUGAAAACAAGCCACGGCUAACUACGGGCCAGCAGCCGCGGUAAGACGGAGGUGGCAAGGGUUGUCCGGAUUUACUGGGGGUAAAGGGCGUGUAGGCGGGAAGGCAAGUCAGAUGUGGAAUCCGGAGGCUCAACCUCCGAAUUGCAUUUGAAACUGUUUUUCUUGAGUACUGGAGAGGCAGGCGGAAUGCCUGGUGUAGCGGUGAAAUGCGUAGAUAUAAGGAAGAACACCAGUGGCGAAGGCGGUCUGCUGGACAGCAACUGACGGUGAGGCGCGAAAGCGUGGGGAGCAAACAGGAUUAGAUACCCCUGUAGUG